CAGUCGCCGCGGGAAUACGUAGGUCCCGAGCGUUGUCCGGAUUUAUUGGGCGUAAAGCGAGCGCAGGCGGUUAGAUAAGUCUGAAGUUAAAGGCUGUGGCUUAACCAUAGUACGCUUUGGAAACUGUUUAACUUGAGUGCAAGAGGGGAGAGUGGAAUUCCAUGUGUAGCGGUGAAAUGCGUAGAUAUAUGGAGGAACACCGGUGGCGAAAGCGGCUCUCUGGUCUGUAACUGACGCUGAGGCUCGAAAGCGUGGGGAGCGAACGGGAUUAGAUACCCCUGUAGUCCCUGUCUCUUAUACA
rnacentral:rRNA from 1 species